rnacentral:rRNA from 1 species
AAGGGAGAGGAAUAGGUAGAAAUCUACCCUCGGGACGGGGAUAGCGGCGGGAAACUGCCGGUAAUACCCGAUAACAUCUUCGGAUCAAAGGUGUGAUUCCGCCUGGGGAUGAGUCUACUUCCUAUUAGCUUGUUGGCGGGGUAAUGGCCCACCAAGGCAACGAUGGGUAGCGGGUGUGAGAGCAUGACCCGCCUCACUGGGACUGAGAACUGCCCAGACACCUACGGGUGGCUGCAGUCGAGAAUCUUCGGCAAUGGGCGCAAGCCUGACCGAGCGACGCCGCGUGCGGGAUGAAGGCCUUCGGGUUGUAAACCGCUGUCGUAGGGGAACAAAUUUACGGGGGUUCUCCCCUGUAAUUGAGUGAUCCUAGGAGGAAGGAGAGGCUAAGCUCGUGCCAGCAGCCGCGGUAAGACGAGCUCUCCAAACGUUAUUCGGUAUCACUGGGCUUAAAGAGUUCGUAGGCGGCCUUGCAGGUGAGGUGUGAAAGCCCUCGGCUCAACCGGGGAACUGCGCUUCAAACCGCAAGGCUGGAGGGAGAUAGAGGUGAGCGGAGCAGAUGGU